rnacentral:rRNA from 1 species
UACGGAGGGUGCGAGCGUUGUCCGGAAUCACUGGGCGUAAAGGGCGCGUAGGCGGCUGGGGAAGUCCGUGGUGAAAGCUCGUGGCUCAACUGCGAGUCGGCCAUGGAUACUCCUCGGCUCGAGCACUGUAGAGGCAGGUGGAAUUCCGGGUGUAGCGGUGGAAUGCGUAGAAGAUCCGGAAGAACACCGGUGGCGAAAGGCGGCCUGCUGGGCAGUAGCUGACGCUGAGGCGCGACAGCGUGGGGAGCAAACGAGG